GUGGAGAGAAGGCCGCACCCUUCUGGGCAGGGGGAGGGGAGUGCCGCAAUACCUUUAUGGGAGUUCUCUGCUGCCUCCCGUCUUGUAAGGACCGCCCUGGGCCUGGAAGAAGCCCUCCCUCCUUUCCUCCUCGCGUGAUCUCGUCAUCGCCUCCAUGUCGAGUCGCUUCUCGAUUAUGGGCGGGAUUCUUUUGCCUAGGCUUAAGGGGCUAACUUGGUCCCUGGGCGUUGCCCUGCAGGGGAGUGAGCAGCUGUAAGAUUUGAGGGGCGACUCCGAUUAGUUUAUCUUCCCACGGACUAGAGUUGGUGUCGAGGUUAUUGUAAUAAGGGUGGGGUAGGGAAAUGGAGCUUAGUCAUUCACCUGGGGCUGAUUUUAUGCAACGAGACUGCGGAUUAUCACUACUUAUCAUUUUUGGAGCAUUUUUCUAGAGACAGACAUAAAGCAUGAUCACCUGAGUUUUAUACCAUUUGAGACCCUUGCUGCACCACCAAAGUGUAGCAUCAGGUUAAAUCUUAAUAGAAAAAUUUUAGCUUUUGCUUGAGAAACCAGUGCUUCCCUCCCUCACCCUCUCUCCCCAGGCUCUCUACCCCUUUGCAUCCCUACCAGGCAUCUUAGCAACUCUCACUCAUACUUGAUCCCAUUUUCCAUUUGUUGUACUUGCUCCUCUAGUAUUCAGACAUAGCACUAGCUUUCUCCCUCUCUUGAUCUUGGGUAGCCUGGUGUCUCGCGAAACCAGACAGAUUGGUUCCACCACAAAUUAAGGCUUGAGCUGGGGCUUGACUCUUACCCAGCAGUGCUUUUAUUCCUCCCUAGUUCACGUUCUUAAAUGUUUAUCUUGAUUUUCAUUUUAUCCUUUUUCCUUAGCUGGGAUUCUGUCCCUGACCGUCUUCACAGUCCAGGUGAUCUUGACUACUGCUUUACAGAGAAUUGGAUCUGAGGUGUGGAAACAGGAAGAGAACUAGAACUGGAAGUAAAGCAUUGAAGAUGUGACUGAAUUGCUGCAAUCUCAUGAUCAAAUUUGAAUGGAUGAGGAGUUGCUUUUUAGGGAUGAGCAAAGAAAGUGGUUUCUCGAGAUGGAAUCUACUGGUGAAGUUGCUGUGAACAUUGUUAAAAUGCCAAUAAAGGAUUUAGGAAUUACAGAAACCUGGUUGAUAAAGCAGUGCCAGGGUGUGAGAGAGUUGACUUCAAUUUUGAAAUAAGUUCCACUGGCUGGGUGUGGUGGCUCACACCUGCAAUCCCAGUACUUUAGGAGGCCGAGACUGGUAGAUCAUUUGAGGUCAGGAGUUCAAGACCAGCCUUGCCAACAUGGUGAAACCCCACCUCUACCAAAUUAGCCAGGUUGCUCCUUGAGGGCAGGACAGUUCUUAUGGCUUUAUCCGUUGCGUAAGCACAGAGAGGUCUGCGAGGUCAAAACUAUUGUCAUGAUAGCAAGAUGCCUGUCUUUUUCAUUUAUUCUCACGGUGUGCAGAGGCUACAUGAUGUGUGAUGACAUCCUCAUUGAUGUUAAUGAAUGGUGCUAUACUUGAAUUUUCUAAGGUGUCAUUAGGUAGGUUUAGGUAUGCAUACUUGUUUUUAGAAAUUAUUUUUUUCCUUUUUCCCAUUUUUAGAAAUCAACUCAUUUUUUAGGUUAUGCCUUCAGUAAUCUUUGCAACCUCAAUAUUGUGUAAUGGUUACUUUAAAAUACUGUAGUUUUCUUUGUGCCUAAGUAUAAACAUAAGUACAUUUUGUUGUUUUGUUUGCAAUAGUGGUUUAAAUAUUUUCCCAAAAUAUCCAAAUUUAAAAAUUCUACAACUUUAGAAUUUAAUAAAUUUAUUCUAAAAUAUUUAUAUAUUUUUUCAUUUAAGAAUGGAUCGGCUUAAAAAGACUGCUUCUCAUUUACUUACUGGCUAUACCAUCUGUAUACUAAUAAAAAACAAGAUUUGAUUUGGAAGGACUGACUCAAACUAACGAAAAUAUGAAACCUGUCUUUCUGCUUUGGAGAUAUUUACCUAAUCAUGUUCUGCAGUAGAAUAAUUUAGUUCUUUUGUCUUUUUUUGGAGAUGAGGUCUUGCUGUGUUGCCCAGGCUAUUCACAGCUGCCAUCAUAGUGAACUACAGCCUGAAACUCCUGGGUUCAAGAGAUCCUUCUGCCUCAGCCUCCUGAGUAGCUGGAACUAUAGGCAUGCGCCACCAAGCCUGGGCUUUUAAAAAAAUUUUAAAAAGAAUUUUGAGACAGGAUCUUGCCAUGUUGCUCAGGCUAGUCUUCAACUCCUAGCCCUGAGUGAUCUUGCUUUGGGCCUCUCAAAAUGUUGAGUUAAUAGGCGUGAGCCACCAUACCCAGCCAAAAAUUUUUUUAGAGAUGGGAAUGGAAUGAUCUUGAAUAGUGUUGGUGCCACCUAUGUUGUGGCAUCAUUUUGAAACCAAUCAUUCAGAGUGCUUUUUUUGGUAAGGCAUUAUUUUUUAAUGCAGGUAUGCCACUACUGGGAAAAAAAAAAAAACAGGUUUUAAAGCUAGAAAUGAAAAGCUACUUAAGUAUCUUAAAGGAUAAGUUACUUUAUUAUACACUAGAAACAUACACAAUAGCUGAAAAACUUAAAAAAUCUCACACUGCUGAAUGUCUCUGCUGGCUGAAGUGUAAGUAAAAGAUCAUAGUAGUGCCGCUGUUGAGUGAUAAAGCAACUUGUCAUUAAAGAUGUGUGUGCAGACAUGGAUUCUGAGUUAAUAUCUCAUCUGUAGAAGUAUAUAUUUGUCCCUUGCUUUGGGAUUGGUUUCUGGACAGCACUCCCCCACCCUUGCUGGCCAUUUGCCAAGGACACCAAAACCCAAGGAUGUUGAAUUCCCUUUUAUAAAAUGGCGCUGUAUCUGCAUACAACUUACACACAUCCUCCCAUAUACUUUAAAUCAUUUCCAGAUUUCUUAUACUUCAUACAAUGUGAAUGCUAUAUAAAUAGUUGUUACAUUGUGUACUUAUAUUUGUACUAUUGUAUUAAAUAUUCUCAAAUAUUUUCAAGCACAUUUGGUUGAAUCUGCAGAUGCAGAACCUGAGGAUAUGGAGGGCUGACUGUGCUAAUACGUUAUCAAUGGAUGCGUGCAUAAACAUGGCUGGACUUGUUACUUGGCUUGUAUUUGCCAGGCAUCAGCACCAACUAGUUAAAGAUACUCUUACGUGAAAGCUUGGCAACAAACACAUGUCCUGAAAUAAUGCAAGUGUAGAAUAACUUUUUAAAAUCUCAUGGUUUAUGCUAAACUAUAUGUUGACAUAAGAGUGGUGAUAAGGCAACAGUAGGUAAAAGUAAAAUUUCAGGCACCUUGGCACAAACUGUGGCAGUGGCAUCAAACUCUAAGUUAUUUUUCACUGCCAUGCAUUUGUGGUGUGAACCCCCACAAAAGAAAAAAACCAGUUUCACUCAAGAAUGUCCUUGUGAAAGCAGUGACAUUUUGUUAAAUCUUAAACCCUACAGUACAUAACUUUUUGAAAUGGUUGUCUCAAGAAAAAGCACUCAUGUAAGCUGAAUUAUCUGCUAUUUCCUUGGAGCCUAACAACUGACAGCAAUUGUUUUCAAUGAUAAAAUCCAAACGUUGAGUCAAAAUCAGAAUUUCGGGAAAACUUGUGUCUAAUAUCAGGAACUUGACAGCUUCCCAAUACUUCAUGAGAUAGUGAUAUUGAAAAUAAUUUUUUUUUUUUUUUGGGACAUCUGGCUGACUGCAACCUCUGUCUCCUGGGUUCAAGCAAUUCUCCUGCCUCAGCCUCCUGCAUAACUGGGACUACAGGGAAGCACCAUUUUCCACAAAACUCUCAAGAAGGACUUGUUGCAACUGGAAAAGCAAUUAAAUGUGAAUCGUGAUCCAGGAGAAAGUAACAACUCACAUAACUCCCAAAUUAAAAGUUUUCCAAAGAUAUAUCAUUUUUUUUCUCUUGGCCUUUUAAGAAACUAGCCAACAAAUACUCUUGACAGGUUUGUGUUUGGUUUUGAAAACACACACCUUAGUGUACUGAAAGAAAAACAAUUUCUUUUAAUUUGGUUUGUUGGUCCCACACCCCAUCUAUCAAUGUAUGUGCUAUUUACAAAUAAGUUCUAUACAGUAUUUUUGCAGUACCUUUGAUAAUUCCUAGACCUCUAUUUUCAUUCUGUGUAUUAAUGUGAAUAACAGAUGGAUAUUUUAAUAUUUAAGGCAGAUGGUAAACUUUCCUAUAGGUCUUGUGAGACUUCGUCUUAUAGGCUGAACACCAUUCACAAAAUGUAAUAAUGCUUCAUUCCUUCAGGUUGAGGUAAAGAACUUGAGCAACUGGAUUAGCAAAGCUGCAAAGAAUGAAAUGUGGCCUAAGAUGUAAUUAUGUUCUCUGCCCUUCCUUUGGGCCAGGGUAGUUUUGCACUUGACACAAUGGAAAAUAGGCCAUAAAGCCUGAAAAUAAAAUGUUCUAAACCCCAA
rnacentral:lncRNA from 10 species